rnacentral:rRNA from 1 species
GAUGAACGCUGGCGGCGUGCCUAAUACAUGCAAGUCGAGCGAACAGACGAGGAGCUUGCUCCUCCGACGUUAGCGGCGGACGGGUGAGUAACACGUGGAUAACCUACCUAUAAGACUGGGAUAACUUCGGGAAACCGGAGCUAAUACCGGAUAAUAUAUUGAACCGCAUGGUUCAAUAGUGAAAGACGGUUUUGCUGUCGCUUAUAGAUGGAUCCGCGCCGCAUUAGCUAGUUGGUAAGGUAACGGCUUACCAAGGCAACGAUGCGUAGCCGACCUGAGAGGGUGAUCGGCCACACUGGAACUGAGACACGGUCCAGACUCCUACGGGAGGCAGCAGUAGGGAAUCUUCCGCAAUGGGCGAAAGCUUGACGGAGCAACGCCGCGUGAGUGAUGAAGGUCUUCGGAUCGUAAAACUCUGUUAUUAGGGAAGAACAAAUGUGUAAGUAACUAUGCACGUCUUGACGGUACCUAAUCAGAAAGCCACGGCUAACUACGUG